UCCUAAGGCUUAGGAAGAGCCACACUCAAGGGGCCAAAGAGCCGCAUGUGGCUCACGAGCCUCAGUUUACUGACCACGGAUCUAGGAUACUGAAUGAACAUG